rnacentral:rRNA from 1 species
AGAGUUUGAUCCUGGCUCAGGAUGAACGCUAGCGGCAGGCUUAACACAUGCAAGUCGAGGGGCAGCACGGGUAGCAAUACCUGGUGGCGACCGGCGGAAGGGUGCGUAACGCGUGAGCAACAUGCCCUAUACAGGGGAAUAAUCCAGGGAAACUUGGUCUAAUGCCCCAUAGCAAUAAGAUAAGGCAUCUUAUUUUAUUUAAAGCUUCGGUGGUAUAGGAUUGGCUCGCGUGACAUUAGCUGGAUGGAGAGGUAACGGCUCACCAUGGCAAUGAUGUCUAGGGGUUCUGAGAGGAAGGCCCCCCACACUGGGACUGAGACACGGCCCAGACUCCUACGGGAGGCAGCAGUGAGGAAUAUUGGACAAUGGAUGGAAAUCUGAUCCAGCCAUGCCGCGUGCAGGAAGACGGCCCUAUGGGUUGUAAACUGCUUUUCUACGGGAGCAAUAAGGUCUACGAGUAGACUGAUGAGAGUACCGUAGGAAUAAGCAUCGGCUAACUCCGUGCCAGCAGCCGCGGUAAUACGGAGGAUGCGAGCGUUAUCCGGAUUUAUUGGGUUUAAAGGGUGCGUAGGCGGCUUUUUAAGUCAGCGGUGAAAUUUUGCAGCUUAACUGUAACAGUGCCGUUGAUACUGAGAGGCUAAGAUUUGGUUGCUGUGGGUGGAAUGUGUGGUGUAGCGGUGAAAUGCUUAGAGAUCACACAGAAUAUCGAUUGCGAAGGCAGCUCACAAAGCCAAGAUUGACGCUGAGGCACGAAAGUGUGGGGAUCAAACAGGAUUAGAUACCCUGGUAGUCCACACUGUAAACGAUGAUAACUCGCUGUCGGCGAUACACAGUCGGUGGCCAAGCGAAAGCGAUAAGUUAUCCACCUGGGGAGUACGACCGCAAGGUUGAAACUCAAAGGAAUUGACGG